CUUUAGGGACUUUCCGUACCUUUCUUAGUUAAGAGAAACAGGAACUGUCGACAGAACACAUCUCAACACCUGGCGUUUCGCAUCUCAAAGGUAUUGAGUCGUGAAACGAAGGAAGGGGAAGUUGUCAAGAAUGGAAAAAGACGUAUCAUAUUACUUCUAUGGCGUCAAAGAGGAAGUCAGUGCUGACUACAAGGACCUGGCAUUCUUCCUCGACAUCCAAGACACCAGGAACAUUGAGAGUAGAAACCCUGAUGCCAUGUCCUGCUGUAUGGAUGUGUUGCAGACCUGGAAGAGAGAGAAGGGAGACCAGGCAACUGUGGAGGUGCUGUUACAGGCACUUAUCUCAGCAGGCCUACAGUCUGCUGCCGAUAAUCUGAGAAGGAAACAUGGCGAAAGCAUCUACACAACCGCAACAAGCGAUCAACACAAUGUAGUGGAUGUUUCUGAAAUGGCUGAAAAUCCAAUUACAAGCUCUGAAUGCGGCGGGAUUUCUUGUAGAAUUCGGAAUUUCUUUCACUUUUCUUGCCUAUGCUAUAGCAAGAGGGUUUGGUGCGGGCUCGUCUCUACCAUUUGCGUUUGCGUUUUUUUAUAUCUUACACUUUACACUUUACAUUCACAUUCACCUUUACCUUCCGCUUCGAGCCCAGACUUAGCUUCGCUUCGGCCUUUGAACAUAACUUUGAACGUAACUUGCCCAGCUCCAGCUGUUCAUUCGAGCCUAGCUUCAACUUUCCAAGCUUCAACUUGGCUUUCGAGCCCAGCUUCAAAUCGGCCUUCGAGCCCAGCUUCAACUCGGCCUUCGAGCCCAGCUUCAACUUGGCCUUAUGGCUCACGUCGGAGACGAAACUAGCUUCAGCUGUAAUCAACAAAUUUUUAAGGUCUUGAAUGUACUUUGUACUUUGACGGCAUAGGGAAUGUGAUGUUUUCAGUGAUUACCUUUGCCAGAAUGGCUAAGGUUAUGUUUUAGGCUUGUGAGUCUG